UGCCAGCAGCCGCGGUAAUACGGAGGGCGCAAGCGUUGCUCGGAAUUACUGGGCGUAAAGCGCACGCAGGCGGUAUGUCAAGUCGGGUGUGAAAUCCCCGGGCUCAACCUGGGAAUGGCAUUCGAUACUGCAGAGCUAGAGUAUGGUAGAGGGAAGUGGAAUUUCCGGUGUAGCGGUGAAAUGCGUAGAUAUCGGAAGGAACACCGGUGGCGAAGGCGGCUUUCUGGACCGAUACUGACGCUGAGACGCGAAAGCGUGGGGAGCAAACAGGAUUAGAUA
rnacentral:rRNA from 1 species